rnacentral:rRNA from 1 species
CAGCAGCCACGGGAAUACGUAGGUGGCAAGCGUUGUCCGGAAUUAUUGGGCGUAAAGCGCGCGCAGGCGGAUAGGUCAGUCUGUCUUAAAAGUUCGGGGCUUAACCCCGUGAUGGGAUGGAAACUGCCAAUCUAGAGUAUCGGAGAGGAAAGUGGAAUUCCUAGUGUAGCGGUGAAAUGCGUAGAUAUUAGGAAGAACACCAGUGGCGAAGGCGACUUUCUGGACGAAAACUGACGCUGAGGCGCGAAAGCCAGGGGAGCGAACGGGAUUAGAGACCCCCGUAGUCCCUGUCUCUUAUACC